CGGACGGGUGAGUAAUGUCUGGGAAACUGCCUGAUGGAGGGGGAUAACUACUGGAAACGGUAGCUAAUACCGCAUAACGUCGCAAGACCAAAGAGGGGACCUUAGGGCCUCUUGCCAUCAGAUGAACCCAUAUGGGAUUAGCUAGUAGGUAAGGUAACGGCUUACCUAGGCGACGAUCCCUAGCUGGUCUGAGAGGAUGAUCAGCCACACUGGGACUGAGACACGGCCAG
rnacentral:rRNA from 1 species